rnacentral:rRNA from 1 species
CACGGGGGGAGCAAGCGUUGUUCGGAAUCACUGGGCGUAAAGGGCGCGUAGGCGGUCAGCACAAGUCAGUUGUGAAAUCUCCGGGCUUAACUCGGAAAGGUCAACUGAUACUGUGCGACUAGAGUGCGGAAGGGGCAACUGGAAUUCUCGGUGUAGCGGUGAAAUGCGUAGAUAUCGAGAGGAACACCUGCGGCGAAGGCGGGUUGCUGGGCCGACACUGACGCUGAUGCGCGAAAGCCAGGGGAGCGAACGGG